CUCUAGUGUGGAUGGUGUGUCGGCUGCGUGCUCUUCCAUCUGGACAUCAAGUGUGUAGGACUGCCACUGAUCACUUGCCUAAGUAAACUCAUACGAAUGAGAAGGGGAGGCUGUCAUACAUUAGACCAUAUAUUAAAUAUUUGAUGGCGGUUUGAGGACUGACUGAAUGGCCAGGUCAGUUUGAGGACCACUCUAGUGUGGAUGGUGCGUCUACUGCGUGCUCUUCCAUCUGGACAUCAAGUGUGUAGGACUGCCACUGAUCACUUGCCUAAGUAAACUCAUACGAAUGAGAAGGGGAGGCUGUCAUACAUUAGACCAUAUAUUAAAUAUUUGAUGGCGGUUUGAGGACUGACUGAAUGGCCAGGUCAGUUUGAUGACCACUCUAGUGUGGAUGGUGCGUCGACUGCGUGCUCUUCCAUCUGGACAUCAAGUGUGUAGGACUGCCACUGAUCACUUGCCUAAGUAAACUCAUACGAAUGAGAAGGGGGGGCUGGCUGUCAUACAUUAGACCAUAUAUUAAAUAUUUGAUGGCGGUUUGAGGACUGACCUGACCAUAGCCUGCCUCAAUCAACAGCCCUGAUCAUAGCCUCCCUCUUCAAUCAUCGUAAACCUAACCAGUCCUCCAUGGCUCACCUUUAAAUGUCAAUGAGUUGGGUUGCAGAGGGCAAAAAUACACUGCAUGUGUGUGUGUGUGUGUGUGUGUAUGGAAAUGUAUGGUGUGUGCUGGUGUAUGCCCAUGUGUUCCCAGUGAAUUCUCCCAGUCACACAAACGAUUAAAAGUGAAAAUCAAGAUACCAGUUACCAAAUUUUUAUUUCUUCUAAACAUUCAAUCUGUCAGCUGAAAAACUCCUAAAAAAACAAAACAAAACAAACUGAUCGGACACAACUACACAGAUUCAGAAACUAAGGGCAGACAACUAGAAAAAAAAAAAACAUGAUUCCAAACAGAAAUAUACACAUUGUACAAGUAAUAACAAAAAUACUGAGUCCAAAUGGUAGAGAACAAUGACUGCUAAUAAUGAGCAUAGGGAGGGAAGAAGCAGAGUUGUUGACUAGACCACAGAGUUGUUGACUAGACCACAGUCUUGUGGUAGAACAAGAGAUGUGGUGUACUCAAAGAGCAUGUAAGAUUGAAAAUAUUUGUACACUGAUCUACAAUCUAUCAAUCAUACAUUGCUAGACAGGCCAGCUAAUCAUAGACAUUUAUACAGACAUUGCUGGACAGGUCAGAUGAUCAUGGACAUUUAUACAAUCAUGCAUAGCUGGACAGGUCAGAUGAUUGUGGGCAUUUAUACAAUCAUGCAUGGCUGGACAGGUCAGAUAAUUGUGAUCAAUUAUAAAUACAUUGCUGGACAGGCCAGAUGAUUUGAGCCAGUUGAUAAUCAUACAUUGCUGGAGAGGCCAGAUGAUUAUAGCUUUUUUUAAACAAAAAAAAUGACUGAACAGUUCAAAUGCCAUGUCUUCAUCGCUAGACAGUUUGAUGAUUAUUGACAUCGUUUGCCUAUUUGUACCUACUUGUAUUAUUUAUAAACUGAAUAAAUUAUUCAUCAGUAGAAUAGUGAUACAUGAAACAAUUGUUUAAUCAAUGCAAACAAACAGAGAGACGGAUAAAUACCACUCAAGAAAAGAAACAUUUUGUCAUGAAAAAGAUUUUAAGAAAUGUACUUUGACCACAAGACAUAGACAAAGCAAGUCUGUAUUCCACAAGACAUAGACAAGUGUCUGUAUUCCACAAGACAUAGACUAAGCAAGUCUGUAUUCCACAAGACAUAGACAAGUGUCUGUAUUGCUAAAGACAUUUAAAAGUUAGUCUAAAUACUAUUGUAAAAAAAUAUUCACAAUAUGGAGCACUGUUUGCAUAAUUGAUUAGGUUCCAUUUUAAUUCUCAAAUGAGCUCUCCCUAGAUCUAUCUAAGACCGUGUUCCAGAGAGGAUAGAACUACAUUGUGUCUGAUCAAUCCUUUACACUUCCAGUCAAAUCUGGAGAGCAAUAUUUUAUUUUGUGAUACAUAACAACAUCUGAAGAGAGAGCUAUCUCUGCUUAUUGAAAUAAGUUCUGGUGCACAACAAAAUGGAGAGAGAGAGAGAGAGAGAGAAUUAAGAAAAAAAGAAGUAGUUUUUAUUAUUGCACAUGGCCAGGUUGUGAGUCAUGUUAUGUCAUAAUUUUUCAUUGGCUGAGAGAUUUGAAUUAUCAAGAAAAUAGAAAGAAAAAAAAUUGUAAGAAAAAAAAUGAGACUAAAAUAUAGAAUCAGAGAAAAAAAAAAA
rnacentral:sRNA from 1 species